AACAUGAAUAUUGUUCUUGGUAGUCAUACAAAUGUGAAUAUGAUUAUCAUACCUGACAGAAAAACGUUAAUGCUAUCUGUAUGAAGAAUGUCUUUAAAUAUUAAUAUUCUUAUUUAUGUUUGUACCAUUUUGAUGAGCAUGGAAUAUAGAAUUCAUUGUAACUGUGGAACACUGAUCUCAGUCACAGUCAUAACACCUAUGUAUUUGGCCUUGUAGAAUAAAUUGCCAGUAAUAAUAGAUCCAGAUAAGUCUCCGACUUUACUAAAGUACUAUCACAAGUCCCCCAAAGCAAGGCUUGACGUAAAAGAAAAAUCACAAGGCAGUAGUAGACCUAGCUCAGCUGCAAGCAGCAGCAGUUCACUGCACAAGAAAGUUGUCAGCAAACAAAUUGAACAGGGUGUUGAAAAGGCAGAG